rnacentral:rRNA from 1 species
GCUGCAUGGCCGUCGUCAGCUCGUGCCGUGAGGUGUUGGGUUAAGUCCCGCAACGAGCGCAACCCCGCCGUUAGUUGCCAGGCGGUUCGGCCGGGCACUCUAACGGGACUGCCCGCGAAAGCGGGAGGAAGGAGGGGACGACGUCUGGUCAGCAUGGCCCUUAUAGGUGGGGCUACACACGUCAUACAAUGGCCGGUACAGAGGGUAGCCAACCCGCGAGGGGGAGCCAAUCCCACAAAGCCGGUCGUAGUCCGGAUCGCAGUCUGCAACUCGACUGCGUGAAGUCGGAAUCGCUAGUAAUCGCGGAUCAGCAUGUCGCGGUGAAUACGUUCCCGGGUCUU